CUGGCGGAAGGGGGUCUUUCCUGCAGAGUUGCCGCUCGAAGAUGGAAAGUUUUUCCAUGCAGCCCUUCCUGCGUGUCUCUCCCUCCCCGGGUCCCUGUCGCCAACCGUGAGGUGCCCCCGUGGGGUCUCUGGCGGCUUAGUGGGGAACCGCAGAGUAGGUAUGCACCCCACCACCACUCCAAACCACAGAGGUCGGGGCUCCGGUGACCUCGCCUCCCGGCCACCACCCAUUCACCCUUUCUUCUCUUUCAUGGUGCAUCUUGGACCGUGGACAAUUCUGCAGAUGCUUCUGGUUGCUGAGACCAAUGGGUAAAUGGAAAUGGUUCUAAAAAGCAGAACACUGCGUAGACUUUGCUCCAGGAUCACGACAGCGGAAGAGCGAAUUCACCAGCUCUAGGACGACGAUGCUAGGGGGCCCAGCCUCUGGAGCACUUUCCAGUAGUGAUAUGCUAGACACGGUGCUUGACAUUUCUAUCCGUCCGUCCAUCUUUUCAACAAGCAUCACCUGUCAUGGACCAGCCUGUGAAGAGCUGAAUCCUGCAACAGCCAUGUGAAUGACCUUGGAAACUUACCCUCCUCCAGUUGAACCUUGAGAUGAGACCACAGCCCCGGUCCACACCUUGUUUGCAGCCUCGUGAGAGACAUUGAGGCAGAGGCACCCAGCUAAGCCAUGUCUGGAUUCCUGAUCUACAGAAACUGUUUUCUUUCUGUAAAGGUGCCCCCUGAGGAAAUUUCAGAUUUGGAGAGACAAUGGAUGGAAACCAAGUGGUGGACACAAUAUGGAUAUACAAAAUUUGGUAUAUCCAUAAAAAGGAAUAUUAUUCAGCCAUGAAAAGGAAUGAAGUCCUAAUACAUGCUACGACAGGGAUGCACCUUGAAACUUUAUGCUAAAUGAAAGAAGCCAGAUACAAGAGGUCAUAUUUAUAUGAAAUAUCAAAAUAGCAAAUCCAUAGAAACAGAAAGCAGAUCAGUGGUUGCCAGGGGUGGGAGGAGAACAGUGGGGAGUGACCACUUAAUGGAUACCAGAUUUCUAUUUGGGGUGAUGAAAAAGUUCUGGAACUAGAUAGUGAUGAUGGUUGCAAAACACUGUGACUGUACUAAAUGCCACUGAAUUGUACACUUAAAAAUGGCAAAUUUUAUGUGUAUUUUACCACAGUAAUUAAAAAAAAACCCUGAGACUAAAUGGAAUUUCUGUUGUUCUAAUUCAAAUUUUGGGCCAGUUGAAAGGUUUACAGGAAAAAAGUUGGAAAUGUAAAGGGCCUAAACCAGUGCAUAUCUCAACUGUGAUUUCAUGAAUAAUCACCUGGAGAGUUUCCACAAAAUACCUUGUCUUAGCUCCACCUAUGAUGAAUUAAAUAAAAACCUCUGAAGGUGCAACCCAGGCAUCUAAAUAUUUAAAAUUCACUCUGGGGUUAUUCUAAUGUACAGCUAGAUCUGAGAACUCUGGACUAAAACCUCAAGGGCCAAAUGGACUGAUAACCUUUGUGCAAACUGUCUUGAGCCUUUCUUCGCCUCCCAAACUUGCUUGGGAAUGGUGUGUAGAGUUGAAGGAGGAGUCUUUUGAAAUCAGAUCUACCAGAGUUGGAAAAAUGACUCCACCACCAAUAAGCUGUGUGACCUUGGGCAAACCACAUAGCCUCUCUGUUUUCUCCUAUGUAAAGAACACAAAUUUAUAGUUUUGUCAUGAGGCUAAUGUGAAACAGGUCCAUUUCCUGGUUGUAACAGUGCUGGUUGUAACCCGUCUCUUUGAAUCCCCCUCUAGACCAGAAGGGAGACACAGUGCUUUAUUUGUGUGAAGUCCCAGCACCGCAGUAUCUUGUACUAUAAGUUCCAUUUUCUCCCUCCACCUGAGACUAGUUUGAAAGAUAUCUUUUUACCUAAGGAGAACAUGUUUAGAUCGGGAAUUAGUGAUUAUAGCCUUUUGGAUCCGUAAUAUGCAAGCAGAGGAAAUGAUGAGCCCUUUUUGCAUUCAGGCUGACUAUCUUUUGUGUACCAAGCUUUAUAAUACUGUAAAUAUACUCUGAGACAAAAGCAGACAAAAGUCAGCCACAAAUCCUAACAGUAAAUAAAAUCAUUUGAAUUUUUCCAUGUUUCUGUCCAGUCCUUAU